rnacentral:lncRNA from 1 species
AAUCAUGGUCCAACAGUGUUGCUAUCUGGCUCUCCAUCCUUUCCAACUUGCCAAACUUGGCAAGCCAAUUUACCUUGCCAAAGUGUGGGUUCCACGUGCAGUAAUUGCUAGAAUGGAGAGUGCAAAAUGGAGGGGCUAUUGGAGUUGAUGGAGAGUGGGUAUUUUUAGAGAAGAAACUAGCAGUUGUGAUUUGGAUAGUGGGAAAUGGAUAGUCUGUUGGAAUGAGCAACUCAAUAUAGAGAGAAAUCUUUUUGCCAACUUGGAUAAAGAGUCAAACAGCGAGCCAAAAACGAAUAGUUUGUUGGAGAUGCUCUUAUGUUGCUUGGGCUGCACAGCCGAGCGGCUUGCUUCCUAGUUGCUGUAGCAACAGCUGCAGCUCGCCGGAGCAGCACAGCCGAGCGGCUUGCUUCCUGGUUGCUGUACCUGAAAAAAGGAGUGUUGCGUAACAUUAUUUGGGUGUAUUCAGCCGGGGGGGAGGGCAACAACGUGCAUGAUGUUACAGAAUUACAAAGGUGUGAGGUAUUCAGCUGCUGAAUUUGAUGAUUUCUUCACAAUUGGAUGGUUUUUGCCUGUUUGUUUGAGAUUAUAAUCCACCUGGAUUAUGGGUCAUGAGUAUUAUGAUACAAGAUCAUUUUAGGACCACUUAAGUAGCUUAUUUUAGAUUAUCUGUGGUUUCG